rnacentral:rRNA from 1 species
UCUACGGGUGGCAGCAGUAGGGAAUCUUUCACAAUGGGCGAAAGCCUGAUGGAGCAACGCCGCGUGCAGGAUGACGGCCUUCGGGUUGUAAACUGCUUUUAUAAGCGAGAAAUAUGAUGGUAACUUAUGAAUAAGGAUCGGCUAACUACGUGCCAGCAGCCGCGGUCAUACGUAGGAUCCGAGCAUUAUCCGGAGUGACUGGGUGUAAAGAGUUGCGUAGGUGGCAUAAUAAGUAGCUAGUGGAAUCUGGUGGCUCAACCAUUCAGACUAUUGGCUAAACUGUUAAGCUCGAGACCGUGAGGGGUAAGUGGAAUGUGUGGUGUAGGAGUGAAAUCCGUAGAUAUUAGAAGGAACACCGAUAGCGUAGGCAGGUUGCCGGGACGGUUCUGACACUAAGGCACGAAAGCGUAGGGAGCAAACGGGAUUAGAUACCCCUGUAGUC